rnacentral:rRNA from 1 species
GAUUGACCUCGGAUUAGGUAGGGAUACCCGCUGAACUUAAGCAUAUCAAUA